UAUGGCUAAGAUCACUGUGCUCUCGGCUGUUGAGAAGAGCAUUUUUGCGAGAACUGAUACAGGUACUGUAAAGUAAUAGUGUUCUGGAUUGAAUCUGAGAAUAUUGCUUAAUAUGAAAGCUGCUGAUUCCCAUAGAGAUACAGGAAGCUGAGGAUCUUCGUCGAUUAUAACUUUUGAGAGCUCUUGGAUCCCUUCGGCGUCAGCUACUUCUUUAGUCCAUGUAAUUGACGAUUUCUCCAAACCCAUUAAAGCUGUCUCUUGUAAAUUUCUUACUCGGAUCCCGG
rnacentral:lncRNA from 1 species